rnacentral:rRNA from 1 species
GAUGAACGCUGGCGGCGUGCCUAAUACAUGCAAGUCGAGCGAACAGACGAGGAGCUUGCUCCUCUGACGUUAGCGGCGGACGGGUGAGUACCACGUGGAUAACCUACCUAUAAGACUGGGAUAACUUCGGGAAACCGGAGCUAAUACCGGAUAAUAUAUUGAACCGCAUGGUUCAAUAGUGAAAGACGGUUUUGCUGUCACUUAUAGAUGGAUCCGCGCCGCAUUAGCUAGUUGGUAAGGUAACGGCUUACCAAGGCAACGAUGCGUAGCCGACCUGAGAGGGUGGUCGGCCACACUGGAACUGCGACACGGUCCAGCCUCCUACGGGAGGCAGCAGUAGGGAAUCUUCCGCAAUGGGCGAAAGCUUGACGGAGCAACGCCGCGUGAGUGAUGAAGGUCUUCGGAUCGUAAAACUCUGUUAUUAGGGAAGAACAAAUGUGUAAGUAACUAUGCACGUCUUGACGGUACCUAAUCAGAACGCCACGGCUAACUACGUG